GCAGCCGAGGAGAAGAGGGCGGGCCGGUGGAGCGUCGUCGACUUGGUGAUUGCCGGCGUUUGGGCUCUACGAAGAGAAUGUGGCAGAAGUGUGCAAUAAUGUGAAAUUCACAGUUACAAGAAAUUACAAGCUGUAUCUGAAUACUGAUUAUGAGUGGAGAAGACACCAGCAUAAAGAACACUGAAUGCUAAAGUGCAGC